GUGCAUUCUCGCGCCGGUGGCGAGGUUAGGGCCGGCGUUGAGACGUGGUGCAGCGCAUAUUUUCACAAGUGGGUCUCCCUUGUCCGGGACUAUGGCCACCGACUCGUGGGCCCUGGCGGUGGACGAGCAGGAAGCGGCUGUCAAGUCGAUGACCAAUUUGCAGAUCAAGGAAGAGAAAGUCAAAGCAGAUACCAAUGGUAUUAUCAAAACCAGUACCACUGCCGAGAAAACAGAUGAAGAGGAGAAAGAGGACAGAGCUGCCCAAUCCUUACUCAACAAGCUGAUCAGAAGCAACCUUGUUGAUAACACAAACCAAGUGGAAGUCCUGCAGCGGGAUCCAAACUCCCCUCUGUACUCAGUGAAGUCGUUUGAAGAGCUUCGGCUUCUUAUUUCUCUUAUACUCUUAGAACUUUCAAUAAAAUAUUGGCUGACAGGUGAUUUCUGGAUGUCAGGAACAUUUCUGAUUAGAGUCCCACUCUGUCACCCUGGUUGGAGUGCAGUGGCUCAGUCACAGAUCACUGCAGCCUUGACCUCCUGAGCUCAAGUGAGCCUCCCAC
rnacentral:sRNA from 1 species